rnacentral:rRNA from 1 species
UACGUAGGGUGCGAGCGUUAAUCGGAAUUACUGGGCGUAAAGCGUGCGCAGGCGGUUCGUUAUGUCUGUUGUGAAAGCCCCGGGCUCAACCUGGGAAUGGCAAUGGAAACUGGCGAGCUAGAGUGUGGCAGAGGGGGGUGGAAUUCCGCGUGUAGCAGUGAAAUGCGUAGAGAUCGGAAGGAACAUCAGUGGCGAAGGCGGCCAUCUGGGACAACACUGACGCUGAAGCACGAAAGCGUGGGGAGCAAACAGG